AUUCAGCAAAGACCCACUAAUAGACACAGUCUCUUCACUCAGAGGGGAAUUGUCCUUUCUACAGAACAGCAUUCUGGAUAUGAAGAUGCUGAUGAGCUUCUUUCAGCAAGUUUUCCAGGAGUCACACCUGACCACAAUAAUGAUGUCACCUCCACUAACAGCCCAACAGAUGAGCAACAAGUCACACCUGAAAAUUAUGAUGAUAUAAUCACUGUUGGACUGAGACAUUAU